rfam:Brachypodium distachyon strain Bd21 chromosome 2, whole genome shotgun sequence.
UUCAUACUCCCUCUGUCCAACAAAAAAUAUCUCGAUUUUGACCAAAUUUGAAUGCAUCUAUACACUAAGUCAUGUGUAGAUACAUCCAAAUUUUGACAAACUUGAGACAUCUUUUGUUGGACGGAGGGAGUAAUAC